rnacentral:rRNA from 1 species
GACGAGUCUCACAAACGUUAUUCGGAAUUACUGGGCUUAAAGGGUGCGUAGGCGGUGAGGUAAGUCGGAUGUGAAAUACCUUAGCUUAACUAGGGAACUGCAUUCGAUACUACCUUGCUUGAGUAAGACAGAGGUGAGUGGAACUGAGGGUGGAGCGGUGAAAUGCGUUGGUAUCCUCAGGAACACCGGUGGCGAAGGCGACUCACUGGGUCUUUACUGACGCUGAUGCACGAAAGCUAGGGUAGCAAACGGG